GACGAACGCUGGCGGCGUGCUUAACACAUGCAAGUCGAACGGAAAGGCCCUGCUUUUGUGGGGUGCUCGAGUGGCGAACGGGUGAGUAACACGUGAGUAACCUGCCCUUGACUUUGGGAUAACUUCAGGAAACUGGGGCUAAUACCGGAUAGGAGCUCCUGCUGCAUGGUGGGGGUUGGAAAGUUUCGGCGGUUGGGGAUGGACUCGCGGCUUAUCAGCUUGUUGGUGGGGUAGUGGCUUACCAAGGCUUUGACGGGUAGCCGGCCUGAGAGGGUGACCGGCCACAUUGGGACUGAGAGACGGCCCAGAAUCCUACGGGAGGCAGCAGUGGGGAAUAUUGCACAAUGGGCAGAAGCCUGAUGCAGCAACGCCGCGUGCGGGAUGACGGCCUUCGGGUUGUAAACAGCUGUCGCCUGUGACGAAGCGUGAGUGACGGUAAUGGGUAAAGAAGCACCGGCUAACUACGUG
rnacentral:rRNA from 1 species